UGGUAGACGAUGAUGAGAAAGAGUACAAAGAGGAAUUGCAACAAGCGAAGAUGGAGUAGUGGAAGCCAUUUGCAAGGAACUUUUGGAAGUGCGUCUCUGAGUUGAUUGGAAGAAACAUUAUUAAGUAUUCCAAUCCGUUUUGACUGCGUUAAAGUUUUAAGCAGGAACGAAGUAUCGUUCAAACAGAGUGGGACCGCGGAAUCUUUCGUCUCUGGA
rnacentral:ncRNA from 1 species